AUUGAACGCUGGCGGAAUGCUUUACACAUGCAAGUCGAACGGCAGCACGGGUGCUUGCACCUGGUGGCAAGUGGCGAACGGGUGAGUAAUGUAUCGGAACGUAUCCAAUAAUGGGGGAUAACUAAUCGAAAGGUUGGCUAAUACCGCAUACGCCCUACGGGGGAAAGCAGGGGAUCUUCGGACCUUGCGUUAAUGGAGCGGCCGAUAUCUGAUUAGCUAGUUGGUGAGGUAAAGGCUCACCAAGGCGACGAUCAGUAGCUGGUCUGAGAGGACGACCAGCCACACUGGAACUGAGACACGGUCCAGACUCCUACGGGAGGCAGCAGUGGGGAAUUUUGGACAAUGGGGGCAACCCUGAUCAGCCAUUCUGCGUGAGUGAAGAAGGCCUUCGGGUUGUAAAGCUCUUUCGCAAGGGAAGAAACGAUACAGUCUAAUAAACUGUGUUAAUGACGGUACCUUGAUAAGAAGCACCGGCUAACUACGUGCCAGCCGCCGCUGUAA
rnacentral:rRNA from 1 species